GGCGAGGCCAGCCAUGGGCCGGCCCGCCAAUCAGGACGCGCGCGGGCGUUUUGAACCCUUAGCGGUACGCUGCGCUCCUCCGGUUGGGAACAGCGCGCAGAGAAGAGCCGCUGCGUGUACCCGGGACCAGGGCCUGCACGCCGCGGCGGACCGGUGACAAGUCAGGUGGAGAAGCUCAAGUCUUGAACUCUGCUUGGUUUCCCAGGUACAGGCUAGACCCCACCCACGAUGAUCACUGAAUCACCAGGUGCUGAGGCCUCUUUCUGUUGUCAAGAGCCAGAGACAACUGAAAGAGCCAGAGACAAUUGAAAGUCAUUGUUCAUUAUUUGAACUGGGAAAAGGGAUGGACUUGCAAGAAGAUUAGGAGGUAAUGUGGGGAGAUAUUGUCGAUGGAUUGGGUGAGGCAGGGGAGGGGGCAGGGAUGAUACCAGGCUUCUAUCUCAAGGACUUGAACUUGGGUGGUGUUUUAGUGCAGGGGAGAUAAGAGAAG
rnacentral:lncRNA from 1 species